GAUGAACGCUAGCGGCAGGCUUAAUACAUGCAAGUCGUGGGGCAGCAGGACUGUAGCAAUACAGUUGCUGGCGACCGGCAAACGGGUGCGGUACACGUACGCAACUUACCCUGAACUGGGGGAUAGCCCGGGGAAACCAGAAUUAAUACCCCGUAAUAUAAUGGAGUGGCAUCCUUUUAUUAUUAAAGCUCCGGCGGUUCGGGAUGGGCGUGCGGCUGAUUAGGUGGUUGGUUGAGGUAACGGCUCACCGAGCCUACGAUCAGUAACUGGUGUGAGGGCACGACCAGUCGCACGUGAACUGAGACACGGGCCCGUCUCCUACGGGAGGCAGCAGAAAGGAAGAAUGGGGACUGAAGGCAGCUCUAACCCAGCCAUGCCGCGUGAGGGAUGCAGGCCCUCGGAGUUGUAAACUUCUUUUGUAGAGGGCGAAACCUGUGUAUUCUUACGCAGUUGACGGUACCCUAGGAAUAAGCACCGGCUAACUCCGUG
rnacentral:rRNA from 1 species